AAGAACUCACAAGGCAUUUAAUCAAACAGAUGGUGUCCCUUAGCAGUAAUUCAUAAUCUGAAAUGAAAACUAUAAGAUUAGGGCACCAAACAAAAACCAUAAACAAACGAGUAAAUUCACGAAACUAUUUUUCCAUAUACAAAUUUGAUGGGCAAUUCAGAACAAGAAGUCCUCUUUAACUUGACAUCAUAAAGGCUGCCAGACGAUAAUGACGAGAAUGCUGAACGAGGAUGGGGGGCUGCUGAAUGGUGGUGCGAAUCCUGUUGGAGUUUGAUCGAGAUUGAGAGAGAAAUGAGCAUACAGAUUGGAUUUGGGACGGGGUAUGGGGGGAAUCUCUAAAAUUUUGAGGAGGGAAAGUUCAAAUUUUUAGUGCAGAGAGGAGGGUGUAGAUGGAAAUGGAAACUGAAUUUUAGAAAGAAAAAAAAAACUAAAGCAAA
rnacentral:lncRNA from 1 species